rnacentral:rRNA from 1 species
ACAGCAGUCGCCACGGGAAUACAGAGGGUGCGAGCGUUAAUCGGAUUUACUGGGCGUAAAGCGUGCGUAGGCGGCUUCUUAAGUCGGAUGUGAAAUCCCUGAGCUUAACUUAGGAAUUGCAUUCGAUACUGGGAAGCUAGAGUAUGGGAGAGGAUGGUAGAAUUCCAGGUGUAGCGGUGAAAUGCGUAGAGAUCUGGAGGAAUACCGAUGGCGAAGGCAGCCAUCUGGCCUAAUACUGACGCUGAGGUACGAAAGCAUGGGGAGCAAACAGGAUUAGAUACCCCGGUAGUCCCUGUCUCUUAUAA